CUGAAGAGAGUUACCGUUUCUGCUGUUCCUCUAAAUUUCUCUCUUUUAAUAGAUGGUAUGUAAAUUCUUUUAUACGAUACAAACAAGAAGGUGAUAUUUUUCCGAACGUGACAUGGCCGUUAGGACAGCAGAAAUAAUGAGUAAAUUACCGUUACAAGGCGGAAAAAGUUUGUUAUAUUUGUGUUACAUAUAAUGUUGGGUUCUAAACUGCAUUUAAAUUCACGACUUAGUUUCGAUUCUCAGUUAGAAACAACUUCGCUUUAUCUUUUUCCUAUGUAUGGAAUAAACACCAACAUUUCCUUGCUGAGUUUGGAGGAGGAAGCAGUGCUCAUAAUCAUUGCGUGUCCUUCGAGGUCGGUGAGCCUAAUCCAAAUGAUGUUCCAAGUAAACUGUUGCAACAAGGGUAACAUAGGUUGCAGAGACGCGAUGACCCGAGUGGAGGAAGUGCUGUGCCAGCCAGCUCCAUGGAACAGUGACCAUCAUAGAGGAAAUUAAAAAAAUAUGACAGAGGGAGAAGGUGACACACCUGUGGGCCAGAGUGGAGUUGCCAUUCUCUGGAUGUGAUCCUGGAUGUCUGGAUGCAUAACAGCAGCACCGUCACAGAUGUAGAAGUAAUAUUCCAUUGUUGACCUCAAUCAAGCUUUGUAGAGUGUCAAAAUUGUUGGGGGCUGAAAUAUUUUCUGGUCCUGGAUAGAAGAGCCAGUGUUUGGAAUGUAGUCCUGGGUAUGCUGAGGAUCUAUUUUUACCAAGAGAGUUCCUCGGUGACAUUGAGACCCAGCAUUAGGAACAACUGUAAGGGCUCAAGUUGAUUGCCACUCAUUUUGGGCAAUGUAGAAAUGGUGUUUUCUUGAUAUGAGUUGUACAUUAGAUUUUUGCUCUUAAACAAGAUUGGCAUGGUCCCCCUAACGGACACUCUUAAAGUGGCCGUUCAUGGAAUAAGUGCAGGUUUGGCGUGUAGUGUCAAGAACUUCUCAUGUAGCAUCGUGUAGUGUCAAGAACUCCAGAACUUGACUAAUACUUUAUUACAUCAACUCAGGCAAGAGUGAAAAGCAAAGAUGACUUCAGUGGGAUUUGAACUCAGAGUGUAAAGAGCUAGAACAAAUACCACUACUCGUUUUCCCGAUGUUUUCACGAAUUUUCCAUUCAGAGUAAUGUGUACAAUACCGUACACAACAGUCCCUUUUUGUUGCGUAGCAAUACAUGGGAAAAGCUAUUGAAAAUUAUUUCUAUUUUCACGAUCUCAGAGAAAAAUUGAACUACUUCCGGUUGAGUCACUUAUGCUAUUUCCUCAUUGAGUCUUCUGUAAACAUGAAGCCUGUCCCUACAGAUAUAACAUAAGGUUCUACAUAAAAGGUGCUUCCUCUCUCAUAUGUUUAGACACAUUCCUCCAUAUCACUAUAGAUUCACAGAAAUGUUUGUUUUCGUUUGAGAAGAGACCAACAAAUUCUCCAUAUCGCAAGGAGCCCAGUUUUCAGUUGAAGAUGAAAAUAAAAGAACGAGAACAGCAUAUACAAGGGGUCAGUUGCUUGAAUUGGAAAAAGA
rnacentral:misc_RNA from 1 species